UCAAUGCUACAGGAUGUUUAUAACAA
rnacentral:piRNA from 1 species